UGGUAAGAUGGGCUGUAAUUACCACUUUGUCGUUAUUAAGUCAUCAUCACGAGGCUCGAUCAAGACUAGCAGAGGCCAUGAACUCGAGAAGAUCCAUUGGCUAUUGUAUUGAUGCGAUAGAGAGUGCUCUGUGAGGCCAUGAGGAUUAGUCAACAACCUAAACAAGCCACCUAUGUUGCUCGGACUCUCCAAAAUGCCCUCGAGAAGAUCCAUUGGUUAUUGUAUUGAUGCGAUAGAGUGCUCUGUAAGGCCAUGGGGAUUAGUCAGCAACCUAAACAAGCCACCUAUGUUGCUCGCAUUCUCCAAAGAUGUUGCUGGGUGCAUGUCGGAUCCUUCAAAAGUAGUGUAUUUUUGGAUGAUCCGAUGCGAGUGCGGCAGCAUUUUGGAGAGUCCGUGCAAUUAUGUUGAAUGCAGUGUUCUCAAGUCCUUCAGAAAGAAGAAAAGGAAAAGUGAGGUCCAAUGGUCUAGAUCAGAAGACCGCCUUAUUGAGUGUUUGGAGUCUUCUUGGUCAGAGUUAUAUAUAAAAUAAAAGGAGAAGAUCCUCCUGUUUCAAGUUUGAAAUACUUUUCCUUCGUGUUAAGCUGAAUUGGAGAAA
rnacentral:lncRNA from 1 species